GACGGCCCUAUGGGUUGUAAACUGCUUUUAUAAGGGAAUAAAGUGAGCCUCGUGAGGCUUUUUGCAUGUACCUUAUGAAUAAGGACCGGCUAAUUCCGUGCCAGCAGCCGCGGUAAUACGGAAGGUCCGGGCGUUAUCCGGAUUUAUUGGGUUUAAAGGGAGCGUAGGCCGGAGAUUAAGCGUGUUGUGAAAUGUAGACGCUCAACGUCUGCACUGCAGCGCGAACUGGUUUCCUUGAGUACGCACAAAGUGGGCGGAAUUCGUGGUGUAGCGGUGAAAUGCUUAGAUAUCACGAAGAACUCCGAUUGCGAAGGCAGCUCACUGGAGCGCAACUGACGCUGAAGCUCGAAAGUGCGGGUAUCGAACAGGAUUAGAUACCCUGGUAGUCCGCACGGUAAACGAUGGAUGCCCGCUGUUGGUCUGAACAGGUCAGCGGCCAAGCGAAAGCAUUAAGCAUCCCACCUGGGGAGUACGCCGGCAACGGUGAAACUCAAAGGAAUUGACGGGGGCCCGCACAAGCGGAGGAACAUGUGGUUUAAUUCGAUGAUACGCGAGGAACCUUACCCGGGCUUGAAUUGCAGAGGAAGGAUUUGGAGACAAUGACGCCCUUCGGGGCCUCUGUGAAGGUGCUGCAUGGUUGUCGUCAGCUCGUGCCGUGAGGUGUCGGCUUAAGUGCCAUAACGAGCGCAACCCCUCUCCUUAGUUGCCAUCAGGUUAAGCUGGGCACUCUGGGGACACUGCCACCGUAAGGUGUGAGGAAGGUGGGGAUGACGUCAAAUCAGCACGGCCCUUACGUCCGGGGCUACACACGUGUUACAAUGGCAGGUACAGAGAGACGGUUGUACGUAAGUACGAUCAAAUCCUUAAAGCCUGUCUCAGUUCGGACUGGGGUCUGCAACCCGACCCCACGAAGCUGGAUUCGCUAGUAAUCGCGCAUCAGCCAUGGCGCGGUGAAUACGUUCCCGGGCCUUGUACACACCGCCCGUCAAGCCAUGAAAGCCGGGGGCGCCUAAAGUCCGUGACCGUAAGGAGCGGCCUAGGGCGAAACUGGUAAUUGGGGCUAAGUCGUAACAAGGUAGCCGUACCGGAAGGUGCGGCUGGAACACCUCCUUUCU
rnacentral:rRNA from 1 species